ensembl:ncRNA F31F7.8 ncRNA
AGUUAAAAGAAAUUAUUUUAAAAGUGCACUCGAACGUCUGUGAAGAAAAAGCGAAAAAGAUGAGAAAAAAAGGCCAAGUUGUGGGAAAAUUACACUAUUUUUCGUCUUUCUCUCCCUCAUUUCUCCUCAGUGUCCAUCCGGACGGACAGCGGCAAGAGAAGAUCGGUUGAUUUGAUUAACUGGCGCACUUUGUGAUGCACGACAAGUGCGCAAGGGAUGAGGCAAGGCGCGUUUCUCGUGCGCGCUCUUUUUGAAGAAAGGCCAGAUGUCACAUUUGACCCUAUGGGUUUAGGAG